UACGUAGGGUGCAAGCGUUGUCCGGAAUUAUUGGGCGUAAAGAGCUCGUAGGCGGUCUGUUGCGUCCGCUGUGAAAACUCGGGGCUUAACCCCGAGCCUGCAGUGGAUACGGGCAGACUAGAGGUAGGUAGGGGAGAAUGGAAUUCCCGGUGUAGCGGUGAAAUGCGUAGAGAUCGGGAGGAACAUCUGUGGCGAAGGCGGCCACCUGGACCAGUACUGACGCUGAGGCACGAAAGCGUGGGGAGCAAACAGG
rnacentral:rRNA from 1 species